AUUCGGACAAAUCGGUGCUGCUUCGGUUUAAGGAAACGGUAUCGGAUCCUGGUUCGAUUCUAGCUAGUUGGGUCAAUGAGAGCGAAGACUACUGCUCCUGGUUUGGCGUAUCUUGCGACUCGACCUCCCGAGUCAUGGCUCUUAACAUCAGUGGCUCUGGAAGCGAUAAGGGGAGCUCUAAAAUUAGUCGAAACCGUUUCACUUGUGCUGAUAUUGGCAAGUUUCCUCUGUAUGGGUUUGGUAUUCGGAGGGUUUGCGCCGGAAAGCUUGGGACUUUGGUUGGGAAUUUGCCUUCUGUCAUCGUGGGUCUCACAGAACUUAGGGUUUUGUCUCUACCCUUCAAUUCGUUUAGCGGAGAGAUUCCUGUUGGAAUCUGGGGAAUGGAGAAGCUGGAAGUUCUUGAUCUUGAAGGGAAUUUGAUGACCGGGUCAUUGCCUGUUCAGUUUACGGGGCUACGGAGUUUGCGGGUCAUGAAUCUAGGGUUUAACAGAAAGAUAUUUUGUUACAUGUUCAGAAAGAAAAAAAAUGAAACUUUAAAUUUGAAAACUGAUAGAAAUAUACCAAAAUGUGACACAGGAGAGGCCAUCUACUAAGGUUCGUUCAGCUCCUGGUGGAGUAUCAUCUCUUGGCUAUCUCUUUGGAGGACCAAAUGCUUCUGAUCCUGUACAGAAAUGAAAGCUGCUUCCGACAAUCCAAGAUUUUUAAUUAAUCAAAUGUACAUCUUCCAUAAACAUGGUUGUUGUGAUCAUUACGGGUUUCUACUAGAAACCUUAAUUUGAAAAAGAAAAAAACAACAUGUUACCAAUCUAAAUCAAAAAUAAACAAACAGUGCCCAAAUGAGAUCAUUUUUCACAAUCUACUCCUCAAAUAAUAUAUGUUCCAUCGUAAACUAGAAGCCGAGUCGAACCAAAUCAUUGAUCGUGAAAUUAAUAAGGUGAAAUAUUAUUAUUAAGUGCCAAUUUUUAGUCUCAAUCGGUCCAUCCGGCAGAACACGACGGCUCUUAAAGCUCAAUCAUGACCGUUGGAUAUUCUUUUUUGGAUAAACCGUUUAAUUUUUGCGAACCCGGUCCAAUUGCGGUUAAACGUAACCGAAAAAGAUAAAAUAAUGGAUUAGGGUUUCUUUCCCUUUUUCGUCUCUCUCUCUCUCUCUCUCUCUCUCUCUUAGCUCGGCUGCGCUAUGACGACGACGACGACGAUUCUUCCCACUUCCGAAGGAGAUCCGUUUCUCUCCGUCGUCCGAUUCACUUCUCAGCUCGCCGAGGUACCACCACCUCACUAUCAUCAUAAACCAUUUCGUUUCGUAGAUCUGAUUGAGUGGUAGACUAGAAUAGCUUCAUGAUUCCAUCAUCUAAAAUUAGUCGAGAGAGCUGAUUUUUGAACUCAAUUAGGCUUCAGAACCAGAAAUCGCCAGGCUUUGUAAAGAAGCCGAGGAGUUCAUAGUAGCACGAAAGUGGUUGGAGUUAGCUUCUUUACUAGUAGCUUCAGCUGAAUUGGCAUCUUCCAAGAUUUCUCAGAAAGGUCUGUUUCUCUAUACUCAUUUUUGUUUGUGUGUGUGUCUUCUCUCAUCAGUUGGUUGAUUUUGUUUGUAUCUUUGAUUCAGAUUUUGAGUGUACAUACAGCAUCAUUUGCAGCAUUGUCAAGAAUGCCAAUAGCCCUGAGGAUGAUGUCCUGGAUAUGGUGAAAGUUAUUUCUGCUAAGCUUGUUCAGCAACCAAAUGAUAAAGCUUCACUUCGUUUGAAGAUGUAUGAUUCUUUCCAGCUUAUAUGUUCAAUGUUUUGUUUAUUAGUUACAUAUUUCCUCAUUCUUUUUUUGGUAUUUGUAUAGCCUCUUCAAUCUAUAUAGCCUUCUGGACCACCCGUAUGCUCGUUUUCAAGUCUACAUGAAAGCUCUUACACUGGCCCUUGAAGGGAAGGUUACCGAGUACAUAAUUCCUUCUUUUAAGAAGAUUGAUAGUUUUUUGGAAGAGUGGAAUAUUGACAUUAAAGACCAGAGGGAACUCUUCCUUGCCGUUACUAAUGUGCUGAGAGAAAAUAAAAGGUACUUCUGCAACACACUUUACACUUCAUCAUCAGUAAUUCUCUAGCUGAUUUCCUUCUUUCGUUUACUAUGAGCUGUAUAACUGUAGCAUCAUGAUUUUGACUUCUCUUAUCCAUAUUCCAGCUUGGUGAAAGAAUCCCUUAAGUUCUUGACAAAGUAUUUAGCGACUUUCUCGAAAGAGGAUGCUCAGGCCUUAGGUGAAGCUAAGGAAGGGGCUGUGUGUGCAGUUAUUGCAUUUGUAAAGGCUUCCAGCAUCUUCCAGGUAUCAUAAUUCGUAAAAGCUUAGUGUGAUUGGGAUGUCUGAGAUCCGUAUUUCUUGCUUUGACACAGCUCUUAUAGAUUACAUCAAUGAUUCUGUAAUUGCAGUGUGAUUUAUUGGACUUGCCAGCCGUAGCACAACUAGAGAAGGAUCCUAAAUAUGCACCAGUUUACCAGCUGCUGAAGAUCUUUCUAACUCAGAGGCUUAAUGCUUACAGGGAAUUCCAAACUGCAAAUUCAGAAUGUCUGCAAAGCUAUGGUAACCAAAUUGUAAAUCCGUUUACUGCUCUUUCUGUAAACACGUCCCUUCUCCGGAGAAAAUCCUUAAUUUCUAUUUCUGGUGGUCCUUAGGACUUGUCGAUGAAGAUUGUGUAACAAAGAUGAGAUUGUUGUCACUAGUGCACUUAGCGUCUGAUGAAUUUGGCAAAAUACCUUACACCUCAAUUAAAGACACUCUACAGGUAUACAAACUCAGAAACCCUGAAAUGAUGGUAAGAUAUUUUUUAGUUUCUUACUGUUCUGUGUGUUUCAGUUAAAGGGGGAGGAGGUUGAACCAUGGAUCGUGAAGGCAACAACUGCGAAGCUGAUUGAUUGUAAAAUUGAUCAGAUAAACCAAGUUGUCAUUAUCAGGCAAGUUGCAUCAGUAGAAACUUUGUAUUUAUAUGUCUAUGGAUGCUCAUUCAUUCAUAAUUUGAUGGUAUGAUUCAUAUCUUUCAGCCGCUGUUCUGAGCGUAAAUUCGGAUCAGAUGGCUUUUCUCCCCCAAGAAAGAUGCCUCCGAUCAUAUUGUUCUCUUUCUGGUUACUCUGUAUCAUAACCUGUCUCCCCGGAAGAAUCACAGUAUUAGCUGAUUCGGACAAAUCGGUGCUGCUUCGGUUUAAGGAAACGGUAUCGGAUCCUGGUUCGAUUCUAGCUAGUUGGGUCAAUGAGAGCGAAGACUACUGCUCCUGGUUUGGCGUAUCUUGCGACUCGACCUCCCGAGUCAUGGCUCUUAACAUCAGUGGCUCUGGAAGCGAUAAGGGGAGCUCUAAAAUUAGUCGAAACCGUUUCACUUGUGCUGAUAUUGGCAAGUUUCCUCUGUAUGGGUUUGGUA
rnacentral:lncRNA from 1 species